rnacentral:rRNA from 1 species
GACGAACGCUGGCGGCAAGCUUAACACAUGCAAGUCGAACGCCGUAGCAAUACGGAGUGGCAGACGGGUGAGUAACACGUGGGAACGUGCCUUUCGGUUCGGAACAACUGAGGGAAACUUCAGCUAACACCGGAUACGCCUUUCGGGGGAAAGAUUACGCCGAAAGAUCGGCCCGCGUCAGAUUAGGUAGUGGGCGGGGUAAUGGCCCACCAAGCCGAUGAUCCGUAGCUGUUCUGAGAGGAAGAUCAGCCACACUGGGACUGAGACACGGCCCAGACUCCUACAGGAGGCAGCAGUGGGGAAUAUUGGACAAUGGGCGCAAGCCUGAUCCAGCUAUGCCGCGUGGAUGGAGAAGGCCUUCGGGUUGUAAAGUCCUUUCGGCGGGGAAGAUAAUGACGGUGCCCGCAGAAGAAGCCCCGGCUAAUUUCGUGCCAGCCGCCGCAGUAAAAC